AACGAACGCUGGCGGCAUGCCUAACACAUGCAAGUCGAACGAGACCUUCGGGUCUAGUGGCGCACGGGUGCGUAACGCGUGGGAACCUGCCCUUAGGUUCGGAAUAACUCCCCGAAAGGGGUGCUAAUACCGGAUAAUGUCUUCGGACCAAAGAUUUAUCGCCUUUGGAUGGGCCCGCGUUGGAUUAGCUAGUUGAUAGGGUAAAAGCCUACCAAGGCGACGAUCCAUAGCUGGUCUGAGAGGAUGAUCAGCCACACUGGGACUGAGACACGGCCCAGACUCCUACGGGAGGCAGCAGUGGGGAAUAUUGGACAAUGGGCGAAAGCCUGAUCCAGCAAUGCCGCGUGAGUGAUGAAGGCCUUAGGGUUGUAAAGCUCUUUUACCCGGGAUGAUAAUGACAGUACCGGGAGAAUAAGCUCCGACUAACUCCGUG
rnacentral:rRNA from 1 species